rnacentral:rRNA from 1 species
UACGUAGGGGGCAAGCGUUGUCCGGAUUUAUUGGGCGUAAAGAGCGUGUAGGCGGCCAGAUAGGUCCGUUGUGAAAACUCGAGGCUCAACCUCGAGACGCCGAUGGAAACCAUUUGGCUAGAGUCCGGAAGAGGAGGGCGGAAUUCCCGGUGUAGCGGUGAAAUGCGUAGAUAUCGGGAGGAACAUCAGUGGCGAAGGCGGCCCUCUGGUCCAGUACUGACACUCAAGUGCGAAAGCGUGGGGAGCAAACAGG